GCGCGUGUGUGUGUGUGUGUGUGUGAGAGUGAGUGUGUGAGUGUGAGUGUGACCUACACAUGCUCCAGUGCUCUCACACCGCCGUCCUCUCCUCCUCGGGUCUCCUGCUCACCUUCAUGCAGGUGAGUGAUGGACGAAAGCACCUUUGAGACAUUUGAGGAAGAGCUUGGUAAACCACUACAAGAGGUUCCUCCUCAGAAACCUGUCAGACAAACACGAACAGGAGGCAGAACAGAGAUGUAUGCUCAGAGGAGGGUGCGAGAGGAAGCUCCAAUCGUCCAGCAGGUCCCGAAGAUGACUCCACGGGAACAUCCGGUCUCCAGCGCCACAGCGUCGUUACGCAAAGCGCUCUCCAUCCAGAAUCUGACGCAGAUCGAGACGCCGUGGGAAGGUGUGACGCUGAACAGGUGUCUGAUCGCAGCCAUAACCAUCCUUCUGCUGAGCUCUGUUUUACAGAGAAUACACGAAGCCGUCAGAGGCCGCAAAGACGUCAGUGAAGAGCUCUUAGCACUAAACGAGAGACAAACUCUGAUUAAAAGAGGGAAAAUAACACCGCAUGAGGUGAGAACAAAAACAAACACAAGAUCUAUGAAGGUAAAGAUAUCGCUUUUGCAAGUAAAAGCAUUGUUUUUCUAUAUAAAGACACGCAAGACGGACGUUUUUGACCGUUGCGCUCGCACAUGAAAAUGUGCCGCUCAAGUUUAAACUGCUUCUGAUUGGCCAACCGGAUAACCGGCGCUACUUUCAUGCGUCUCGUAUCACUCCGCGAGCUCCCGCUUUUUUUCUU
rnacentral:lncRNA from 1 species